UGGUGGCGACCGGCGCACGGGUGAGUAACGCGUAUGCAACCCAUCUAUCAGAGGGGAAUAACCCGGCGAAAGUCGGACUAAUACCGCAUAAAACAGGGACACCGCAUGGUGAUAUUUGUUAAAGAAAUUCGCUGAUAGAUGGGCAUGCGUUCCAUUAGGUAGUUGGUGAGGUAACGGCUCACCAAGCCGACGAUGGAUAGGGGAACUGAGAGGUUGGUCCCCCACACUGGUACUGAGACACGGACCAGACUCCUACGGGAGGCAGCAGUGAGGAAUAUUGGUCAAUGGGCGAGAGCCUGAACCAGCCAAGUCGCGUGAAGGAAGAAGGAUCUAUGGUUCGUAAACUCCUUUUGCAGGGGAAUAAAGUGCAGGACGUGUCCUGUUUUGUAUGUACCCUGAGAAUAAGGAUCGGCUAACUCCGUGCCAGCAGCCGCGGUAAUACGGAGGAUCCGAGCGUUAUCCGGAUUUAUUGGGUUUAAAGGGUGCGUAGGUGGUUUGAUAAGUCAGCGGUGAAAGUUUGCAGCUUAACUGUAAAAAUGCCGUUGAAACUGUCGGACUUGAGUGUAAAUGAGGUAGGCGGAAUGCGUGGUGUAGCGGUGAAAUGCUUAGAUAUCACGAAGAACUCCGAUUG
rnacentral:rRNA from 1 species